ACUCCUAAAGUAAUAAGAAGAAUCUAUAACUGCAGGUUUAAAGGAGGGAUGAGGAAUAAAGAAGCCUUGGGUGCAAUAUUAAAUGAACUGAGUUAAUUAAAGCUAGCUAGUGUAUCUCGGAAGAGUGCAAUAUUAUCUUACUUUGAGUGAUCGGGAGAGAUUUACGGUAAGUUGAGUGUUCAUUAUUGAUAAAGUGUGUUGGUAAACUUUUAUGAAGCAUAAACAGAAUGGAUUCCAUCAAUAGGGGAAGUCAUUACCUUAGCGUUUCUCUCAUUCUUGUUUACAACCUUAGUUAGUUAGCUAUAGCUUGUUACUUUUCUACAAUUUCAGUUCGUAACAAAACCUCCACUUGUGAUUCAAAAGUUUUGGAAAGCUGAUUCUGAAGAAUUUAGUGGGUCUAAAAGUGCUAGUUGAUAGGUUGACUCUCUGUGGAUUCGACCCUAGGGGGUAAUACUCGGGUUUUAUUUGCAACGUCCGCAGAGUACUUUUUAGAGGGCAUACUUGGACGGGAUCAAAUUUUAGUGCCGUUGCCGGGGAGUUGACGGAAUUAUCAAUUGCCAUUGCUAGAGUUAUAGAAAUUCUUGGUUUACCUAUUUUCUUGACACCCAAUUUUGAUUGAAACUUUUGACGGUUGACUUUGUUGCACAGGUGUAUGCCAAGAAACUCUGCAAGGACUGAAGAAUUG
rnacentral:lncRNA from 1 species